AAAGUCCUAAUAAUACAAGAGAUAAGGGAUAAGAGAACAAGACCACAAAUGGAGUUCCUCUCUUGAGAUUAUAUUGAUGAUCCAAGUAGCUCUCAUCCUUUGGAAUAUGCAAGCAACAUAAUAGUUAGCUCAAGCAAUCAACAAUCAAUUUAGCUCUUGGAAAGUUCCUCAAUGGCUCUUAGAUUUCUCUCUCUUAGAAGCUCAUGGCAAUGGUUCCUCACUUAGGCUCAAUUUUGGAAUCCCUAGC
rnacentral:lncRNA from 1 species